rnacentral:rRNA from 1 species
GGGUUGUGAGGUUAAGCGACUAAGCGUACACGGUGGAUGCCCUGGCAGUCAGAGGCGAUGAAGGACGUGCUAAUCUGCGAUAAGCGUCGGUGAGGUGAUAUGAACCGUUAUAACCGGCGAUUUCCGAAUGGGGAAACCCAGUGUGUUUCGACACACUAUCAUUAACUGAAUCCAUAGGUUAAUGAGGCGAACCGGGGGAACUGAAACAUCUAAGUACCCCGAGGAAAAGAAAUCAACCGAGAUUCCCCCAGUAGCGGCGAGCGAACGGGGAGGAGCCCAGAGCCUGAAUCAGUGUGUGUGUUAGUGGAAGCGUCUGGAAAGGCGUGCGAUACAGGGUGACAGCCCCGUACACAAAAAUGCACAUACUGUGAGCUCGAUGAGUAGGGCGGGACACGUGGUAUCCUGUCUGAAUAUGGGGGGACCAUCCUCCAAGGCUAAAUACUCCUGACUGACCGAUAGUGAACCAGUACCGUGAGGGAAAGGCGAAAAGAACCCCGGCGAGGGGAGUGAAAAAGAACCUGAAACCGUGUACGUACAAGCAGUGGGAGCCUCUUAAUGGGGUGACUGCGUACCUUUUGUAUAAUGGGUCAGCGACUUAUAUUCUGUAGCAAGGUUAACCGAAUAGGGGAGCCGAAGGGAAACCGAGUCUUAACUGGGCGUUAAGUUGCAGGGUAUAGACCCGAAACCCGGUGAUCUAGCCAUGGGCAGGUUGAAGGUUGGGUAACACUAACUGGAGGACCGAACCGACUAAUGUUGAAAAAUUAGCGGAUGACUUGUGGCUGGGGGUGAAAGGCCAAUCAAACCGGGAGAUAGCUGGUUCUCCCCGAAAGCUAUUUAGGUAGCGCCUCGUGAAUUCAUCUCCGGGGGUAGAGCACUGUUUCGGCAAGGGGGUCAUCCCGACUUACCAACCCGAUGCAAACUGCGAAUACCGGAGAAUGUUAUCACGGGAGACACACGGCGGGUGCUAACGUCCGUCGUGAAGAGGGAAACAACCCAGACCGCCAGCUAAGGUCCCAAAGUCAUGGUUAAGUGGGAAACGAUGUGGGAAGGCCCAGACAGCCAGGAUGUUGGCUUAGAAGCAGCCAUCAUUUAAAGAAAGCGUAAUAGCUCACUGGUCGAGUCGGCCUGCGCGGAAGAUGUAACGGGGCUAAACCAUGCACCGAAGCUGCGGCAGCGACACUAUGUGUUGUUGGGUAGGGGAGCG